rnacentral:rRNA from 1 species
UACGGGGGGUGCAAGCGUUAAUCGGAAUUACUGGGCGUAAAGCGCACGCAGGCGGUUUUUUAAGUCAGAUGUGAAAGCCCCGGGCUUAACCUGGGAAUUGCAUUUGAUACUGGCAAGCUUGAGUAUCGUAGGGGGGGGUAGAAUUCCAGGUGUAGCGGUGAAAUGCGUAGAGAUGUGGAGGAAUACCGGUGGCGAAGGCAGCCCCCUGGACAAGGACUGACGCUCAGGUGCGAAAGCGUGGGGAGCAAACAGG